rnacentral:rRNA from 1 species
GCCGGAGGAAGGCGAGGAUGACGUCAAGUCAGCAUGGCCUUUAUGUCCUGGGCUACACACACGCUACAAUGGUCGGUACAACAGGUUGCCAAGCCGCGAGGCGGAGCCAAUCCCUAAAGCUGGUCUCAGUUCAGAUUGCAGGCUGCAACCCGCCUGCAUGAAGAUGGAGUUGCUAGUAACCGCAGGUCAGCUAUACUGCGGUGAAUACCGGUUCCCGGGGCUU